GAUGAACGCUAGCGGCAGGCCUAACACAUGCAAGUCGAGGGGCAGCAUUGGUACUUGUACCAGAUGGCGACCGGCGCACGGGUGCGUAACGCGUAUGCAACCUACCUAUUACAUAGGGAUAGCCUCUGGAAACGGAGAUUAAUACCUAAUGGUAUCUAGAUAUUGCAUGAUAUUAAGAUUAAAGAUUUAUCGGUAAUAGAUGGGCAUGCGUGACAUUAGCUAGUUGGUAAGGUAACGGCUUACCAAGGCGACGAUGUCUAGGGGAUCUGAGAGGACUACCCCCCACACUGGUACUGAGACACGGACCAGACUCCUACGGGAGGCAGCAGUGAGGAAUAUUGGUCAAUGGAGGCAACUCUGAACCAGCCAUGCCGCGUGCAGGAUGACUGCCCUAUGGGUUGUAAACUGCUUUUAUACGGGGAGAAAAUUGUCUACGUGUAGACAACUGACGGUACCGUAAGAAUAAGCACCGGCUAACUCCG
rnacentral:rRNA from 1 species